GGGCCAGCUAGCUGUUCUACAUGCAGUCGAGCGAACAGGAUCGAGGAAGCUUGCUUCUCUGAUGUUAGCGGCGGACGGGUGAGUAACACGUGGAUAACCUACCUAUAAGACUGGGAUAACUUCGGGAAACCGGAGCUAAUACCGGAUAAUAUUUUGAACCGCAUGGUUCUAAAGUGAAAGACGGUCUUGCUGUCACUUAUAGAUGGAUCCGCGCUGCAUUAGCUAGUUGGUAAGGUAACGGCUUACCAAGGCAACGAUGCAUAGCCGACCUGAGAGGGUGAUCGGCCACACUGGAACUGAGACACGGUCCAGACUCCUACGGGAGGCAGCAGUAGGGAAUCUUCCGCAAUGGGCGAAAGCCUGACGGAGCAACGCCGCGUGAGUGAUGAAGGUCUUCGGAUCGUAAAACUCUGUUAUUAGGGAAGAACAUAUGUGUAAGUAACUGUGCACAUCUUGACGGUACCUAAUCAGAAAGCCACGGCUAACUACGUGCCAGCAGCCGCGGUAAUACGUAGKKGGCMAGCCGUUAUCCGGAAUUAUUGGGCGUAAAGCCGCCGCGUAGSCGGUUUUUUAAGUUCUGAUGGUGAAAAGCCCCACGGCUUCAMCCGUGGAGGGGUCCAUKGGAAACUGGAAAACUUGAGGUGCAGAAAGAGGGAAAGUGGAWUUCCAUGUGUAGCGGUUGAAAUGSGCARAGAWAUGGAGGAACACCCAGUGSSGARGGCGACUUYCUGKUCUGUAACUGACGCUGAUGUGSGAAAGCGUGGGGAUCAAMCAGGAUUAGAUACCCUGKUAGUCCACGCCGUAAACGWKGAGUSCUARGKGUWRGGGGGUUUCCSCCCCUWAGUGCUGCCAGCUAACGCAUWAAGCAYUCSSCCKGGGGAGUACGACSGCAAGGUKGAAACUCAAAGGAAUUGACGGGGACCCGCACAAGCGKUGGAGCAUGUGGUUUAAUUSGAAGCAACGSGAAGAACCUUACCAAAUCUUGACWUCCUUKGAMAAYUYUAGAGAUAGASCUUUCCCYUUCGGGGGACAAAGUGMCAGGUGGUGCAUGGUKGUSGUCAGYUSGUKUCGKGAGAUGUUGGGUUAAKUCCCGCAACGAGCGCAACCCUUAAGYUUAGUUGCCAUCAUUAAGUUGGSCAYUYUAAGUKGACUGCCGGKGMCAAACCGGAGGAAGGGGGGGAKGACGUCAAAUCUUCAUGCCCCUUAUGAUUUGGGYUMCMCACGKGYUCCAAUGGCCAAUCCAAAGGGCAGUGAAACCGGGAGGUCAAGCAAUUCCCAUAAAGUUGUUUUCAGUUCGGAUGGUAUUUUGCAAUUGGAUUCCAUGAAGCGGGAAUCGUUGGUAUUGGUAGAUCACCAUGUUCCGGUGAUUACGUUCCCGGUUUUGGUACCCACCGCCCGUCACACCACGAGAGUUUAACUACCGGAAGCCGGGGAGUAACAUUUAGGAGCUAGCCGUCGCGAUGAGUGUACGUUCGG
rnacentral:rRNA from 1 species